rnacentral:lncRNA from 1 species
CUGAGAGCCACAGAUAAUUCCCACAACACAUUGGAAUGAAAUUUCAAUUCCAGUGGAUGAGUAGAUCUUGGCUGGGUACAGAAAAUGAUUUAGUCGGUAAAAUGUCAAUUUAGAGGAUUCUUCUGAGAAACAAUCUGUCUGAUGGGAGGGGAAGGAGAUCUCAGCCAGGCUGUGUUUCUUUUAACAUUUUUUAAGAAGAAGAAAAAG